rnacentral:lncRNA from 1 species
ACACAAAUGUUGUGGAAAGUUGUGUGCCAACACCUCUCUUCUCUGAUGGAAUCUUCAUGAUCACAGAACCACCACUUUUCUGCUGCUUCUUGUGCACCUUCCAGAGCAAAUAACCAAUCUUUGAAUUCGAUGGAUAUAUCCACAUCAUCAGGUGUUUCCAAUUGUAAUCUUCCAGUGUCCUUUCCAUCUGGAAAGAAGAAAAGUAUGAGGAAAUGAGAUGAGUCCACAUCAUCAGGUGUUUCCAACUGUAAUCUUCCAGUGUCCUUUCCAUCUGGAAAGAAGAAAAGUAUGAGGAAAUGAGAUGACCAUCGAACAAAAAGAUCACAAGCAAAGUUAAUCACUGAACACAUAGACGACAAAGAAAAUGAAUACUCAUCCAUCCCGAAUUGCCUGUGCCUAAUUUGUAAGUGGUUCAAAAACAGUUUAACACAUUCACAAUAAAACAGAAUUUUG